GCGCCCGUAGCUCAGUUGGAUAGAGCGUCUGGUUGCGGACCAGGAGAUCGCAGGUUCAAAUCCUGCCGGGCGCACCA
rnacentral:tRNA from 1 species